GGAGGCAGCCUGGGAAAACACAACCUGGAGAAUGAGUUGUUUUGGGUGGAGAAUGGCUUUUGCCAGGAUUUAUGCUGCCUUUAUGGAGACACAAGGAAUUCUUCUGACAAUUUAAGUCCCUGAACUGAAGUGCUCAGCAGUGGUUGGGAUUGCAGGUGGCAGCCGUGGCAGUGAUGGAUUUUCACCUCAUUCCUGCACCAGGGGCUCUCAGUCACUCAGGGCCUGAAUGUUGGUGCAGUUCCCAAGAUGAGGCUCAAAAUCGAUCCCUGGAGUGGGAACUUCUGCACAGCCUUGGAAAUGGGACCCAGGGAGGAAACUGUGGCCAAGGAGAGAUCUUGGUGUCCAGGUUGAAGGUGUUGGAAGCUGCCAGAGCCACUGAUUCCAAUUUGUGUUUCUCCAUCUGCAUGGAAAAUCCAUCUGCUUGCAGAAAUUGUAUUUACACAGCCCAUAAUCCUGAGCAGCCUCAGAUAUUGGGGAUUGAGGCUCUAACGACAUUGGAAACCAUUUUUAUUAAGAGGCAGAAAUUGAAUUAGCCUUUCACUUCACUGUGAAGUGCCCAGCAUCCCCAGCCAGGGCACUCUGCAGGGGAGAAAAUGGCCUCAAAUUCCUACAAAAAUGAGGUAAAAAAAGGAAUUUUCCUGCUGUGGUGGAGCCAAGGUCCUCCCUGCACAUCGAGGUAAAAAAGGGAAUUUUCCUGCUGUGGUGGAGCCAAGGUCCUCCCUGCACAUCUGAGUUGUCUCCCUCUAGUUCCUGAUCAAAAUUCAAAGUUGGAGUGAAUUUUGUGGGCCUGAGAUCCCAUGUUUUAUGUUUGUGCUCCCAAACUCCAGCUCCGAGGUUGACUUUUCCUGUUCCUGAAAAAACUGAAUUUUGCAUCACUGUCCAAUAGCUCCAUCACUGUCCUGGAGCUGUGACCUGCAAACUCAUAAUUCCAUAACAAAAUCCACCCCAGCAGCCACCAGUGGGGCAGGGAGAUCCUUGGAAUACAAAACCGACAGGGAGGAACAGGAAACACUGAAGACAACCUGGAAACCUGGGAAAGCCAGAUUUGCACCAAAAAGCAUUCAAUCAACACCCAGGAAGAAGGAAUUUCAUGUUCUCUGUAAAAAUCUUCAAUUUUCCAUGCCUGUAAGUUUCCCUGCACAUCAGAAUUUUGUUAUCUUCUCAAGAUAAACAAUUUUCCUUCUCUUAAUUCCCAUUAAUUCCCAAUAUGACUUUUAACUUCACCUGUCCUUUCCCUUUUCAUGCUCCCAGCUCCUUCCCACAGGGCACACCUCCCAUUCACUUGUCACCAAAAAUCCUUUUAAAUCCAUCCUAACCUCCCUGGUACUCCACUGCUUUUCUCCUUCUUGCACUUUUUAUUCCUUUUAUUCCUGCCCACAUCCAGUGGCUGGGCCCAGGGAACUCAUUCACAAGCUGCUCACUUCUCCCCCUGUAAUUACUUCUCACUGCUGUUGUCUUUAUUGAGAUGCCUGUCUUUGGGGUUAUUUCAGAUUUAUCUAUUUUAAUAUUUCAGCCCCUGUUUUUAUAGCCUUUGGAUUGUUCAGUGAUCUUUGAUUGCAUAAUUGAAAUGUAUUUUCCUGCCUCCUUUAAACUCCUGAAUUGGCAGGCAAACUCACUUGGCUUUUCUGUUAGUCUCUUCAAGGCUUUUUGAUUGAUUCCAGCAAGGAUCUAUCUUUUCUUUUUCCUGAUAGUUCCUUUUAUUAUCUCAAUAAAACCUCCCGUGUCAGCUCAAUUGAGCAAACUCUUUUUGUACCUGUGCAAACUCAGCCAGGGUUAUGAUAAAGCACAUUUGGUGUAAGGAAUAUCAUUAACUUCUUCCCUGGAUCUGGAUAACAGCAUCCCAACCCCUUCCUCCAGGCCUGUUCUGCUUCUGGCCUGUGUACAGCUGCCUGGCAGGGCUUUGCUUUUAGCUUUUGCACUGAUUUGU